UACGUAGGGUGCAAGCGUUGUCCGGAAUUAUUGGGCGUAAAGAGCUCGUAGGCGGUCUGUCGCGUCUGCUGUGAAAACUCAGGGCUUAACCCUGAGCUUGCAGUGGGUACGGGCAGACUAGAGUGCGGUAGGGGAGACUGGAAUUCCUGGUGUAGCGGUGAAAUGCGCAGAUAUCAGGAGGAACACCAGUGGCGAAGGCGGAGACCUGGGC
rnacentral:rRNA from 1 species